rnacentral:rRNA from 4 species
UACGAAGGGGGCUAGCGUUGUUCGGAAUUACUGGGCGUAAAGCGCACGUAGGCGGAUUGUUAAGUUAGGGGUGAAAUCCCAGGGCUCAACCCUGGAACUGCCUUUAAUACUGGCAAUCUCGAGUCCGAGAGAGGUGAGUGGAAUUCCGAGUGUAGAGGUGAAAUUCGUAGAUAUUCGGAGGAACACCAGUGGCGAAGGCGGCUCACUGGCUCGGUACUGACGCUGAGGUGCGAAAGCGUGGGGAGCAAACAGG